rnacentral:rRNA from 1 species
UACGUAGGCAGCGAGCGUUGUUCGGAGUUACUGGGCGUAAAGCGUGCGUAGGCGGUGUUCCAAGUCUGUUGUGAAAUCUCCCGGCUUAACUGGGAGGGUGCGGCGGAAACUGGAACGCUGGAGUAUGGGAGAGGUAAGCGGAAUUCCGGUGUAGCGGUGAAAUGCGUAGAUAUUGGGAGGAACACCUGCGGUGUAGACGGCUUACUGGACCGAUAAACUGACGC